GACGGGGCCCGCACAAGCAGUGGAGUAUGUGGUUUAAUUCGAAGCAACGCGAAGAACCUUACCAGGGCUUGACAUCCCUUGAAGCAGCUAGAGAUAGCUGUGUCCUUCGGGACAAGGAGACAGGUGGUGCAUGGUUGUCGUCAGCUCGUGUCGUGAGAUGUUGGGUUAAGUCCCGCAACGAGCGCAACCCCUGUGGUUAGUUGCCAGCAAGUAGCGUUGGGCACUCUAGCCAGACUGCCGGUGAUAAAUCGGAGGAAGGUGGGGACGACGUCAAAUCGUCAUGCCCUUUAUGGGCAGGGCUACACACGUGCUACAAUGGCCAGUACAGAAGGUUGCCAACCCGCGAGGGGGAGCUAAUCCUGAAAAGCUGGUCGUAGUCCGGAUCGCAGUCUGCAACUCGACUGCGUGAAGUUGGAAUCGCUAGUAAUCGCGAAUCAGCAUGUCGCGGUGAAUACGUUCCCGGGCCUU
rnacentral:rRNA from 1 species